rnacentral:rRNA from 1 species
UACGAAGGGGGCUAGCGUUGCUCGGAAUCACUGGGCGUAAAGGGUGCGUAGGCGGGUCUUUAAGUCAGGGGUGAAAUCCUGGAGCUCAACUCCAGAACUGCCUUUGAUACUGAGGAUCUUGAGUUCGGGAGAGGUGAGUGGAACUGCGAGUGUAGAGGUGAAAUGCGUAGAUAUCUGGAGGAACACCGGUGGCGAAGGCGGCAUCCUGGACCGAGAUUGACGCUGAGGCGCGAAAGCCAGGGGAGCAAACGGG